CAGUCGCCGCGGUAAUACGUAGGGGGUAAGCGUUGUCCGGAAUUAUUGGGCGUAAAGCGCGCGCAGGCGGUUUUUUAAGUCUGGUGUCUAAGUGCGGGGCUCAACCCCGUGACGCACUGGAAACUGGGAGACUUGAGUGCAGAAGAGGAGAGCGGAAUUCCACGUGUAGCGGUGAAAUGCGUAGAGAUGUGGAGGAACACCAGUGGCGAAGGCGGCUCUCUGGUCUGUAACUGACGCUGAGGAGCGAAAGCGUGGGGAGCGAACAGGAUUAGAUACCCCUGUAGUCCCUGUCUCUUAUACA
rnacentral:rRNA from 1 species